CAGCCGCCACGGGAAUACAGAGGGUGCGAGCGUUAAUCGGAUUUACUGGGCGUAAAGCGUGCGUAGGCGGCUUCUUAAGUCGGAUGUGAAAUCCCUGAGCUUAACUUAGGAAUUGCAUUCGAUACUGGGAAGCUAGAGUAUGGGAGAGGAUGGUAGAAUUCCAGGUGUAGCGGUGAAAUGCGUAGAGAUCUGGAGGAAUACCGAUGGCGAAGGCAGCCAUCUGGCCUAAUACUGACGCUGAGGUACGAAAGCAUGGAGCAAACAGGAUUAGAUACCCCCGUAGUCCCUGUCUCUUAUACAC
rnacentral:rRNA from 1 species